AGUGAACGCUGGCGGUAUGCCUAACACAUGCAAGUCGAACGGCAGCACAGUAAGAGCUUGCUCUUACGGGUGGCGAGUGGCGGACGGGUGAGGAAUACAUCGGAUUCUACUUUUUCGUGGGGGAUAACGUAGGGAAACUUAUGCUAAUACCGCAUACGACCUACGGGUGAAAGCAGGGGAUCUUCGGACUUUUCGCGACUGAAUGAGCCGAUGUCGGAUUAGCUAGUUGGCGGGGUAAAGGCCCACCAAGGCGACGAUCCGUAGCUGGUCUGAGAGGAUGAUCAGCCACACUGGAACUGAGACACGGUCCAGACUCCUACGGGAGGCAGCAGUGGGGAAUAUUGGACAAUGGGCGCAAGCCUGAUCCAGCCAUACCGCGUGAGUGAUGAAGGCCUUCGGGUUGUAAAGCCCUUUUGUUGGGAAAGAAAAGCAGCAGGUUAAUACCCGGCUGUUCUGACGGUACCCAAAGAAUAAGCACCGGCUAACUUCGUG
rnacentral:rRNA from 1 species